rnacentral:tRNA from 1 species
AGGGAUUUAGCUCAGCGGCAUAAGCACCUGCCUUGCAAGCAGGUGGUCGUGAGUUCAAUCCCUG